rnacentral:lncRNA from 1 species
AGAAUCUUAAACUGGUACCCCAAUCUAUAGUACUUCUAUCUGUUUUCUGUUUUUGGAGGAACUUCUCUAUGUAGUUGUCUUAGAGCUUGUCAAUACUGUUAUUAUAACAAAAAAUAUGUGGUACGAUUGCAUUGAGACAACUCUUCACAAGAGACCAAAAUAACAAAAAUUAAUAAGUAUAGGUCACCAUACCCAGGUCCUUCAAAUAUGAGCAAAACCACAUAGUCAGCUGUAAAGGACCCCGAAAUGACAAAUGUAAAACAAUUUAAAUGAAAAAACUAAUGACCUAAUUUCUUUACAAACUACAACCACUGAAUCACAAGCUCCUGACAGACACACAAGUACAACAUGUAGCAGGGUUCAACAUAACAAACAAACAAACAAAUAUUUUAUUGCUAAUCACAG